rnacentral:lncRNA from 1 species
CGAGUUCCAGGAAAUGCAGAAGUGAUCUUCCCCUUUUCAACAUGAGACUAGAGCAGUGUUAGUGAGCAGGUUGGACGCUCUAACGUCACUCUGCUGUGUUCACACUGUGAGCUGGUGACAGACGCACACAGGCGCAGCUUCUUCUCUACAGCAGCAGCUGAAAAGGCUGAUGUGAGACAUUAAGUGUAAGCUGGCUUACACGUCACACGCUGUCAGUGAGACACUUCUGAGGAAGGAGAGAGACAUCACAGAAAGUGUCAAACAAAGCUCAUCAUCUCAUGACGUGGAGAUGGAUCAGGACACGGUGAAGGAACAACAUGAGAUCCAGACUGAAGAUCAGAGGUGAGACCACGUCAGAGCUCAGCACUCUCACCUCUGUACAUCAGUGUUACACUGUGUGUGUGUGUGUGUGUGUGUGUGUGUGUGUGUGUGUGUGUGUGUGUGUGUGUGUGUGUGUGUGUGUGUGUGUGUUCAAGGACCAGGAAUAAGCUCACAUCUGGACCUGGACCCAGCUGUGUGUCCUUUAGAAGUGACCAGUCCAUGGACAUACGUAUGAACUUCAAAGGAGGUCCAUCUACUGACCCACAAACCAAGCCCAGACUAAGUGGACCAGGACCUGAACCCGAACCCAGCUGUGUGUCCUUUAGAAGUAACAAGUCCAUGUCCAGACACAUUGUAUUCAAAGGUGGUCCAUCUACUAACCCACGUUGAGUGAACAAAUAAUAAGGGUGCUUGUUGUCUUCCUGAUAGUCCAGUUUCUUCACACUCGACACUGAUGAAGCACCAGUAAACAUGACUCAGCACUUUUGAUGGA